GGUUCUGUAGUUUAUUUAAAAUAUUAAGUUGCAAACUUUAAGAAACAUAGAUUAUUGUCGGAACUU
rnacentral:tRNA from 1 species